UGGCGGACGGGUGAGUAACGCGUGGGUAACCUGCCUCAUACAGGGGGAUAACAGUUAGAAAUGACUGCUAAUACCGCAUAAGACCACAGCACCGCAUGGUGCAAGGGUAAAAACUCCGGUGGUAUGAGAUGGACCCGCGUCUGAUUAGCUAGUUGGUAAGGUAACGGCUUACCAAGGCGACGAUCAGUAGCCGACCUGAGAGGGUGACCGGCCACAUUGGGACUGAGACACGGCCCAA
rnacentral:rRNA from 1 species